UACGUAGGGUGCGAGCGUUGUCCGGAAUUAUUGGGCGUAAAGAGCUCGUAGGCGGUGUGUUACGUCGGCCGUGAAAACCUGCAGCUUAACUGUGGGCGUGCGGUCGAUACGGGCAUCACUGGAGUUCGGCAGGGGAGAAUGGAAUUCCCGGUGUAGCGGUGAAAUGCGCAGAUAUCGGGAAGAACACCCGUGGCGAAGGCGGUUCUCUGGGACGGUACUGACGCUGAGACGCGAAAGCGUGGGGAGCGAACAGG
rnacentral:rRNA from 1 species